CAGCCGCCACGGGAAUACAGAGGGUGCAAGCGUUAAUCGGAAUUACUGGGCGUAAAGCGCGCGUAGGUGGUUUGUUAAGUUGGAUGUGAAAGCCCCGGGCUCAACCUGGGAACUGCAUCCAAAACUGGCAAGCUAGAGUACGGUAGAGGGUGGUGGAAUUUCCUGUGUAGCGGUGAAAUGCGUAGAUAUAGGAAGGAACACCAGUGGCGAAGGCGACCACCUGGACUGAUACUGACACUGAGGUGCGAAAGCGUGGGGAGCAAACAGGAUUAGAUACCCGUGUAGUCCCUGUCUCUUAUAC
rnacentral:rRNA from 1 species